rnacentral:lncRNA from 1 species
CGUCGUCCGUCCGUCCGUCGUCCGUCCGUCGUCCGUCCGUCCGUCGUCCGUCCGUCGUCCGUCCGUCGUCCGUCCGUCGUCCGUCGUCCGUCCUUCCGUCGCCCGUCGUCCGUCCUUCCGUCGUCCGUCGUCCGUCCGUCGUCCGUCCGUCGUCCGUCGUCCGUCGCCCGUCCGUCGUCCGCGUUUUCCUUUCGUCCGUCCGUCGCCCGUCGUCCGUCUGUUCGUUAGCGCUUCACGUCAGGUUCACCACUGUUGGUGUGUGUGCUCGACGGUGUAAGCCCACAACCUCAACUCUCCAGUGUUCACUCUCUCAGAAUUAUCAACCCCUUCCCCAGUUGGACCAGGGGAGGUAUUUAUAGCCUUCACUUGUUGUCAUUGGGCCUCGUGGGCUCGUACGGUCGGGCCCAUCCGUCCGUCCGUCC